rnacentral:rRNA from 2 species
ACCUGACUGCUAUCGGAUUGAUACUAAGCCAUGCGAGUCAUUGUAGCAAUACAAGGCAGACGGCUCAGUAACGCGUAGUCAACCUAACCUAUGGACGGGAAUAACCUCGGGAAACUGAGAAUAAUGCCCGAUAGAACACUAUAUCUGGAAUGGUUUGUGUUCCAAAUGAUUUAUCGCCGUAGGAUGGGACUGCGGCCUAUCAGUUUGUUGGUGAGGUAAUGGCCCACCAAGACUAUUACAGGUACGGGCUCUGAGAGGAGUAGCCCGGAGAUGGGUACUGAGACACGGACCCAGGCCCUAUGGGGCGCAGCAGGCGAGAAAACUUUGCAAUGUGCGAAAGCACGACAAGGUUAAUCCGAGUGAUUUGUGCUAAACGAAUCUUUUGUUAGUUCUAGAAAUACUAACGAAUAAGGGGUGGGCAAGUUCUGGUGUCAGCCGCCGCGGUAAAACCAGCACCUCAAGUGGUCAGGAUGAUUAUUGGGCCUAAAGCAUCCGUAGCCGGAUCUGUAAGUUUUCGGUUAAAUCUGUACGCUUAACGUACAGGCUGCCGGGAAUACUGCCGAUCUAGGGAGUGGGAGAGGUAGACGGUACUCGGUAGGAAGGGGUAAAAUCCUUUGAUCUAUUGAUGACCACCUGUGGCGAAGGCGGUCUACCAGAACACGUCCGACGGUGAGGGAUGAAAGCUGGGGGAGCAAACCGGAUUAGAUACCCGGGUAGUCCCAGCUGUAAACUAUGCAAACUCAGUGAUGCAUUGACUUGUGGUCAAUGCAGUGCUGCAGGGAAGCCGUUAAGUUUGCCGCCUGGGAAGUACGUACGCAAGUAUGAAACUUAAAGGAAUUGGCGGGGGAGCACCACAAGGGGUGAAGCCUGCGGUUC